GCGGGGGUGCCGGAGCGGUCAAAUAGCUUUUCCUUGAGAAAGAAAACCUAGGAAAAGAAAGACCAAACGGGCAGGUUCGCAAGAUGCUAAACUUAAGAUCGCUUAGGAUUAGAAAUCCUGUGGCUUAGUGCCUACCAAGGUUCAAACCCUUGCCCCCGCA
rnacentral:tRNA from 1 species